CAGCAGCCGCGGGAAUACGUAGGGUGCAAGCGUUAAUCGGAAUUACUGGGCGUAAAGCGUGCGCAGGCGGUUAUAUAAGACAGAUGUGAAAUCCCCGGGCUCAACCUGGGAACUGCAUUUGUGACUGUAUAGCUAGAGUACGGCAGAGGGGGAUGGAAUUCCGCGUGUAGCAGUGAAAUGCGUAGAUAUGCGGAGGAACACCGAUGGCGAAGGCAAUCCCCUGGGCCUGUACUGACGCUCAUGCACGAAAGAGUGGGGAGCAAACAGGAUUAGAUACCCCUGUAGUCCCUGUCUCUUAUAC
rnacentral:rRNA from 1 species